UACAGAGGGGGCAAGCGUUAUUCGGAAUUAUUGGGCGUAAAGGGCGCGUAGGCGGCUUGGCAAGUGGAUGGUGAAAUCCCUCGGCUUAACCGAGGAACGGCCGUCCAAACUGCUUCGCUUGAGACCGGGAGAGGUGAGUGGAAUUCCCAGUGUAGAGGUGAAAUUCGUAGAUAUUAGGAAGAACACCAGUGGCGAAGGCGGCUCACUGGUCCGGUACUGACGCUGAGGUGCGAAAGCGUGGGGAGCAAACAGG
rnacentral:rRNA from 1 species